rnacentral:rRNA from 1 species
AUGCAUAUCAUCCAGAACAAAUACCUGCGCGGCCAGUCGCUCGCCUUCUGCCAGCGGUCUAGGGGCUCCCAGUUCUGGCAAUCUAUCAUCCAGUUGCUCCCGGUCCUCCGCAUCGAGACCUCCAUUACAGUGGGCACAGGGACCGCCACCCUUUUCUGCUUUGACAGGUGGGCUAGGGAUGCCCCCUUCGCGGCUCGUUUCCCGGACAUGUUCUCCAUCGCGGUGGACCCUCGGGUCUCAGUUGAGGCGGCCCUUAUUGACUUAGGGCGCCUCACGUUCCAGCGGCCACUUGGGCCCCCGAAAAUAGCCGCCUGGCACGAGCUCCUAGACGUUGUGGCGCUCCACGAGCCGGAUGAGCUGGCGCACGACCGCCCAUCCUGGUACCUAGAGCCCUCGGCCAAAUUCUCCAUGAAGUCCCUAUACCGGGCCAUCGCUGCCACUCCUGGACCCGCGCCCCUAGAAACGAUCUGGUCGAUCAGACUCCCUCUGAAGAUCAGGAUCUUCCUAUGGCAAUGGAUCCGAGGGCAGGUGCCUUCUGGUGUGGAGGUGCUGAACCGGAAUGUCCCGGGAGAUGGGACAUGUCCCUUGUGUGGGACGGAAGAAGACUCAAACCACAUCUUCUUCUCGUGUGUCUCCGCCCAGUUCCUCUGGAGUUGCCUACAUGAGGUAGUCAUUGGUCGUUGGUGUAACACCUCUUCGCCGAGCUUCAGGCCUCGCCCCCAGUGCGUCACCACAUUAGGUGGCUGGCCAUUGGGGUCCUUGCGUGAAUGCUAUGGACGGUUCAAAAUAAGCUUGUGA